UACGUAGGUGGCAAGCGUUGUCCGGAUUUAUUGGGUUUAAAGGGUGCGUAGGCGGUCUGUUAAGUCAGUGGUGAAAUACUUCAGCUCAACUGGAGAGGUGCCAUUGAUACUGGCGGACUUGAGUACUGAUGAGGUAGGCGGAAUGGACGGUGUAGCGGUGAAAUGCUUAGAUAUCGUCCAGAACACCGAUAGCGAAGGCAGCUUACUAAGGAGUAACUGACGCUGAUGCACGAAAGUGUGGGGAUCAAAC
rnacentral:rRNA from 1 species